UGCUGCCACAGUGUGGCUUGAUGAGCAGUGCUAGGUCCGAACCUGCAAACUCCUGGCCACUGAAGCAGAGUGUGUGAGCUUAACCGCUAUGCCACCAGGCUGGCUCCUCAAAAAUAUUUUGUAGCUUUCAUUAUGUAUGGUUUUAAAAUGUCUUACUAAAUUUAUUCUUAGAUAUUUUAUCUUAUUCUUGCUACUAUAAAUGGCAUUUUCUCUUCCAUUGGUUAUAAUUUUUGAACAUAAUGAUUACUGAUUUUUGCAUAUUCAUUUUGUAGAUUUCUACUGCGUAAAACUAUUUUAUAAUUGAGUUUAUCUUGUCAUUGAUUUUGUAAGAUUUUCCAGGUAUACUAUUUUUUCAUCUCAUAAUAAAUAUGGUUAUAUCUCUUCUUUUUGCCAAUUCUUAUGCUUCUAAUUGUUUUUCUCUUGUUUAAUUGCAUUGGUUGACACUUUCAGAACAAUGUUAAAUCACAGUGGAUAUGGUGGGCAUUAUUGCCUUAUGAGAAUGUCUGUCUCUAAUGGUUCCCUAUUACAUAAGAGGCUGUGUGUGAAUAUAUGACUACAAUUUUAAGGAAAUAGGAAAUAUAUACCCAUUUCUAAUUUCUCAAGAGAUUUUAAAGAAUGGAGAUUGAUUUUUGUCAAAGACGUUUCAUUAUUAUUAGCAUGAAUAGAGACAAAUAGACCAAUGGAACAGAAUAGGGACUUCAUACAUGGACCCAAACUAAGGUAGCUAUGUGAUUGUUGAGAUAAGUGCCAACAAAAUUUAAUGUGGAGUGGAAAACCUUUGCAACAGCUGGUACCAGAACAACUGGAUAUCUGAAUGAUAAAGUGAACCAUAGCCCUUAAUUCACAUAUUUGCACCAAUUUUUUUUGAGAUGGAUUAUUCACAUAAACACAAAAUCUAAAAUCCAUACAGCUUUUGAAGAAAACAGAAAAAUAACUUUGUAACCCGAGGGAGGCAAAAUUUCCCUUAUGAAGGAUGCCAAAAGGACUAACUAUAAAAGAAAACUGAUAAAUUGGGUUUCAUCAAAAUAAAAUAAUAAUUCUUCUCAUCAAAAUCUACUGUUGAAAUAGACUGAGAGAAAUAUUUAUCAUACAGUCAAUUAUUUUAUGUGCAGUAGUUAUGUUCUAUAAAGUCACCGUGAACACUGAAUUAGCAUCUACUGAGCUAUUGCUCCUAGGAGAAAUACAAGGUUAGUUUCCUUUGAGCCUCUGGUCCAAACAUUUUUGUCAGUGGAUCAAUAUGUAACAUUGUUUUAUGUGUGUUUUUGUUUAAAGCCAUCUUAUUUAAUACACGGUGUUGAUUCAUUAACAUUGAACUCACAGCCAGCAGCACUAUAACUCACGCCUGAAUGGAGCUUGUUUAACACAUAUUUUCUCCAUAAGAUACCUCACAGACUUCUUUCACUUAAGAACACAAGACAGCACUUCAGCACCAUACUUGGGGGCCAUUAUAAACAGCACAAUCACCUACAAAAAGCACAAAAAUGUGGCACUAAAUAGACUGCAAAAAGGAUACUUGUUUGCAGUAUGAGAGCUAAAACAAGAAAGCAAAGUAUCCCCUUGUUUGUCCUCAGCUAGGACAGGUGACUCAAAUUUUUCGCCAGUGUGUGAAUGUGAGUAACCACGAAAGUGCAGCGAGUAUUGCUUUUGGAGUUACAAAUACAUUUUAGCAAAUAGGAGAAUUCACAAACAGGGAAUCUGUGAGUAAUAAGGAUCUACUGUAUAUAUCUCUGAAUAUAUAAUGGGGGAUUAGAUUUUUAGUAAGAUCAAGAAAAGGCAAAAGUAAUCCAUGAUUACAGGAGUCAGAGUAUUGCUUUCCUUUGUGUGGGACAUUGACAAAGCAACUGCGAUGAUGGAAAUGUUUCAUAUCUUGAUUUGGGUGGUCAUUUAAUUGAGUUUAUACAUUUUUCAAAACUUACCAAACUGUACAUUUAAUAUUUGUAAAUAAUACCUCAGUAAAAAGAAAACACUGCAGAUAAAGAUGUUUUCCAUCAUAUUUCUUUCAGUCUACAUGUAUCAUCACAUUUAAAGUAACUGCCUCGUGUUCAGCAUAUUGUUGACUUUUGUUAUUUUAAUCAGUCUAAAAAUCUUUUUCUUUUAAUUAGAGUGUUUAUGCUGGCUUCUUUUAAUGUGAUUCUAGGAUAAUUAGGUUUAAGCCAAUCAACUUAUGUGUUUUUUGUUUGUCCCACCUGAUAUUUGUCAAUUGAUCCCUUCUAUCCUGCCUGCUUUUGUACUAAUCAACUAUUUUUUCAUUGUUCCAUUUGUUUCCCUGUUUGCUUUAAAUUUUCAUGAUCUCAUGUUAUUCUUUUACGGUUUCCCUAGAGGUUAAAAUAUGUACCAGCGACUUGUCACAUCUAACUUAAACUAAUACUUUUACCACUUCUGCAAAGAGUCUUGAAAGUGUUUAUCUUCCUUUUUUCCUUCCUGUUCUUUGUUGCACUUUUGUCCCAUAAUUUACUUCUAUAUAUAACAUAAAUCUUUUAAGACACUAUCGUUAUAGUUGUUUUGAACAGCCAAUUUUCAUUUAUAGUUACCCACAUAACUUCCCUUUCCAUUUUUCUUAAAAGAAAAAAUAAAGACAAAGAAGGUUUUUCAGAUUCACCCAAUCCCAGGCAGCCCCUCAUUUUCAUAUUAACUAGUUAUAUUUUUCCAUCAUAAUAAUGACCCUAACAAAUAUUCUUGUUCUUCCUUUCCUUGCAUAUUUUCUGACUACCUCCAAGAGCAAUGAAGGGUCCGUGAGAGGGAAUUUGUGUGUGUGCCUAGCACCUAGCACAACGCUAUGCUAGAGAAAUGGCUGCUCAAUCAAUAUUUGUUAAAUUGCCUGAGCAUUCCAGCUUUGCGUUUUGAGCCUUGCCACUUCCCAUCCCCACCCCCAAAGUUCCAUGCUCCCUGGCUUUGUGAUGCAAUCUCCAAGGAAGGUUGAGCAGCCUGAGGGUGAAGAGGGAGAGCAAACAUGGAGGAUGUGAUCGGAAGUGAGCAGUUCGUCUCCACGAUGAAGGACGAGGAGGUAGGGAAAGAAGGAAGCAGUUGUCACAUGGGGAAAUGGCGGACCCUGGACAUACCCUCUCGGGAGCUGAUGUGGCAGUGGCAACGGCUGCUUGUGGACCCUGCUGCACCUCAGAACAGACCCUUAGGGGCUGCCAGCUGUCAUGUAGAGGCUCCUACAGCAAGCCCCGUGUAGGCCCAGGGAAGCAUGUCCUCAGCACUUCUUCUCUUCUCUUACAUGUAGACUAGUUGUCUCGUUCUAGAAUCUGGAGAAGGAGACUAGUACAUUGGGCUGCAAAGGUAUGAAAAAGUCCUCUUAAUAAUCGAAACUCCGAGGGACAGAGGAACCUCUGGAAAAUCUGGCAUCAGAGGGAAGGAAGGGGCUCCCUCAUUCAGGACACCUCAGGGCUGUGCAGCCUAGGGGAACACUUGAAUUCCUUCUGGAUUUGAAGAGGUUUGGUGAAGGGCCCUGGGAAAAACCAUCCAGUGUAGACUCAUGUCUCUCAUUAAUCAUUUUUAAAGUUGGCAUGCUUUCCCUAUGAGUGCCUACACGAGGAUCUGGCAUGCCAUGAAUCAUCUCUCCUUCUGUCUCCUGGUGCCUGCACAUAUUCACAGAUUAUUCUCUGGAUCCAGAGUGCAAGUAAGUGAUUCUGGAACAGGAGGUGGCUGGAAGUGUCUUUCUCUCUUGAGCAGACUUCAUUCCAAUUGAAUUAAGACAUCAGCAAAGCGCAUUUAAGUGGACAUCUAAUCCUACCAUGAAAAUCAUCAGGUAAGGACAUUCCCGCCCUGAAAACAAGAAAGAAGGAGGUCUGUUCUUUCCAAAUGUACUCAGGGCAGGUGAGGAGACACCUCUUCUGGGUAGGGUAGAAGAGGGUGGGGGUAGGUUUGGCUUGGCCGGGGUUUUGAAGAAAUUCAGAUGGCCAUGCACACACAUACUGAAAGCAGCCCACGUAGUUCUCUGUUGUCACCAUGUGAGCGCGGCUGAACUUCGUGCCCAGGACUCAUACCUGGUGAGUAGUUGUCCCUAUGUUCGCUUUGUCUUUUCUUUAUACGUGUGUGAAGGAGUGAAGGGAGGGGAGGCAGCUCAGACCUCCUGAGAAUGGGAAAUGCCAUUUUGUCUUCCCUUUUACAUUUUUUGUGUGUGUGCCCUGAGAGAGCUUGAGAGAGAGAGCAGGAGAGAGAGAGAAGCAGAAAAAGCAAGAGGGAGAGGGAAAGAUUUGAAGACGCAAGAACACAGGACCCUGGAGACCAUCUGUGGGACCGCAGCCCUUUGUGUCAGGGGAGCAGGUGCUCCAUUUUACACCCGUGUGUCAGGAAUGGGGGACAUCCCAACCCCCACCGCGGUGAGUUUCCUUACACCACAUUCAGGCAGUUUCAUGGCCAACUGGUGUGUGUGCAGCUUGCUGCCCAUCUCAGAAGAGCUACACCCCUCCCUCUGCUCCAGAAAAGGAAAGUGCUCCAGGCUGUCUGCUCCCCUCGCUGCCCUAGCCUUGCCCGGCCAGUGAUGACUGCCCCAGGUGUCUGUUCCAGUCCUACAAGAGCUCCAGGCUUUCCCAGGCUGCACCACCUGCUCAGGUCAUGGGGCUGGGAAGGGGCAGCAAAUGGCCUCUGAGGAAGGCCAGCUGUCUCUAGGAUCUGUGCUCUUACCCACUGUGCUUUAUUGGCUCUGCAGAAGUGAGGCCUGGCAGGAGGAGAGGGAGAAGCAGAGGCUGGAGCCUUUCCUGCCGCUGAGCCUUCUUCUUGAGACGUCACUCAGGACAUGCAGGCACUUUCAAACAUCCCAUUUCCAAAAUGGUGUGGGUGGGCAGUCCGGUGGCCUGGGAUAGUUGGAGGUGUCUACACAGCCCUAAUGGAAAUGCCUCGGUGUCUCCAAAGGCCUGUGCAGGUAACCUGCUUUCAUAAAAUAUUUGUCAGUCACAGACAAAAAGUCUUUGCAAAAUUAGGCUGACUGCUGCGUAUCUAUGCCGGGUUAACAGGGAUGUGGCGUGGCUCAGUGAAUUUUGCUGGUUCUGGGUUCCCUGUUCCCUGCAGACUGAGUUUUCAUGCCGCAGCACCAUCUGAGAAUCAGGAAGCAGAGAUGUUGGCACGAAGCUGGCUGUGAUAGCAGGAGUCGUGGCCAUGGUGCGGAUGGAAAGCUGAUGCCCAGCAGGACUCUGCAUUCAGUGUGCUUGUAGUCAGGUAGAGGAGGAAGAGGCCGGUACACAAAUGGGUGAAAUGAAAGGAGGUCAUGACAGAGAUGGAGGUAAGAGGCCCCUCCCACUCAUGAGGACAUAUGGAAAUGAGGACCCCUGGGCUUCAGAUGCUGCUUUCUCAGCAAGGUAAAGGGUAAACACUGUCUCUCUGUCCUCAGUCGCCCAGUUCCACUUGGGAAACCUAAUCAGGUCUUCUUUGUCUUCUUCCUCUCAGGACACAGUAGAUACAGGGCUUGGAUCCUCAGUAAUGUUCCCUGCUUCUCCAUGUAAAAAGAUGGUGUGUCUUGCAGACCAAGGUGUUUGUGUUGCGGUUCCUAAAGUAAUCUCACAACCUUCCAUGUGGAAUGACAGGACAUUUCCAUGGUGAUGAGAGUAAUUCUUGAUCUCCACCCCCUCUGCAAUUGAUUUGCUGAGGCAGCUGGUGAGAGUGGGGCAGGAGGUGGGAGGAGAAUGUGGCAUAGGGACCUUGCCACCCUCUGUCUUCUUGUGCUUCCUGAUAGGGACAAGGCAGAGGUGAGAGUGGCAUCUGUGUGGGUUGGGGUGGGGCAUGGAGGCAGGUGGGUAUCCUGGUGUCCUGUGUUCUCCUGAUUCUCAUGAUGUGCAUGGCAGAAGCUUAUUUUGAUUUCUCAGUGCUGUGUUUUCUUUUCUUCCCUUCCUGUUCCCUUAAGUCUCUGCUCGCAAACAUACCCCUGUGAUGCAGGCUGCCUGGAGACGGUAUCUCAGAGCUGCCAAGCAUUUGCUGUGGGGUUCAUGUCAGCCAGCUCAAGCUCCUGUCCUCAAAACCAUCCCAACUCCAAAUCUUGUCAAUAAAGGACAGCUGCCAUUUGUGGUCAAUUAUGUGAGGCCUCAUUGCUUUGGUCCUCUCUACCAAUGAUGGUCACUGAAGACGGGGAGGACUAAGACUACAGGGCUCAUUGAACAAGUAACUUCCUCCCUUGGCCAAAAUGGGGACAUAUGAACUAACAACUUGCUGUUUUUAAGCAGUCAACUGGAAAGAAUGUUGCAAAUCCAGCAAUGUUUGGUCACCAAGCUACAUACCCGGCUCCUUCCAACUCUAAGCAAAAGGUAGUAUUGAUGAAGUGAAACAUAUGACCUAUGCCAGUAAUUGUGAAGGCAUUAAAGAUGCUCCAUUCCAGGCAAAACAACAUCUUACUGCUCUUUGUUGUUGCUUAAGGAGCCCCCACCUUUUAACACUGUAACCUGUUACCUUUCGCUUUGGAAAUAACAACAAAGGCUUACAAGACAAAGGAAUGUCAAAAUACCGUGUAGUGGUUUGGUGGAUUGUUAUAAUAAGGAUGCCCAAUUAAUCUUGUGUCCCUCUGAACACACACCCUUUUUAAUGGGCCUUUCUCUCCUCUUCCCUUAAGGGGUUGAAUUUAUUUCCCCCAGGCAGUGAUGUUGGGCUGGGUUGUAACUUGUUUCUGUCAAUAGGAUGUUUCAGAUGUGGCUUUGCUCACCUUCCUAGGCUAAGCUUUAAGGUGCUUUGCGGUUUCUGCCUUUGCCCUUGUUGGUAACCUUGAUAUCCUUUAGUCUAAUGAGAUCAGACUACUUGUUUAGUUCAUAGCUUUAAGCAAUUUAACUUCUAGAAGCUUUAUUCUUCAUCUACAAAUGUGUGAUAAAUAUGCAUAUUGCCUUAGGGUUUUUAGUUGAUUAGAUGAAAUAAUACAUGUGUUCCUAACCAACUCACUGUACUGUCACUAUGGAACAAAGCCUCAAGGAGAAAAGGUGCUGGAAAUGACUAUGUACAAUUGAAAAUUUUACUAUAUCUGAUUAAAAUUUUGUUAAAUAGCUUAGAAAACACUUUGAAAAUAUUUAAAAUAUAUGACACAGAGUCAAACGUAUUAAUACAUAAAAACAUUUCAAAAAUCAAUCAGAAAAGAUAUGGUAUCAAACAUUGGGAAUAAGAUCAUGUCUCAAAAAUAUUUACUAGGCUGCUUAAUGCCUUUGAGAGUUGACCUGGAAGAAAUAUUUAUUCCUUUAUCAAUUAUUUACUAAGAAUAUAGUAGAUACCAGGCUGUUUCAUGUGCUAGGAAUACAACAGAGAAUUAAAUAGACUCAAAACAUGUGCUCAUGGAAUUGACAUCUUGUAAUUAAAAAAUUUUAAUUUUUAAUUUAAAAAAUUAACUGGAAAAUAUUUAGGAUGCACAGAAGUGAUAAAUGAUACAGGGAAAAUAUAAACUAGGAACAGAGUUAGAGAGUGCUGUAAGGACAGGUGUUAAGGUUUCAAAUAUAGUGGAUGAUGCUGCAAUGAGCAUCUGUGCAAUUUUUUAUGUGGACGUAUCUUUUCAUUUCUCUUGGAUAUAUACCUGAGUGGAAUUGUUGGUACAUAUGGUAACUCAGUUUAGCAUUGUGAGGAAGUGCCAAACUGCUUCCAAAGUAGCUAGUCCAUUUUAUAUUCCCACCAGUAAUCAAUGAAUUUUUCUGGUUCUUCACUUUGUUCUUAACCAACACUUGUUGUCUUAUUGAGUAUAGCCAUCCUAGUAGGUGUGAAGUCAAAUUUCAUCAUGAUUUUGGUUUGUAUUUUUCUAGUUUUUAAUUAUGUUGCACAUUUUUUCAUAAGCUUAUUGGCAACAUGAAUAUCUUUGUAGAAAUGUCUGUUCAAAUCAUUUGUCAAUUUUUUAAUUGGAUUAUUUCUCUUUUUAUUAUUGAGUUAUAAGUGUUCUUUAUAUAUUCUGGGUACUAGGCCCAUAUCAGAUAUAUGAUUCUGGAAUACAAUAUUAAAUAUACAUUUUUAGAGCACAUAUCUUUGCCUUGCUCAUGACCUUAUAUAUAAAACUUUGAGUCUUUCUCAACUGAAUAUGAUGUUAGCUGGAGGUUUUUUUAAGAUGCCUUUAAUUAGGUUGAGGAGUUUCACGUCUAUCCCUAGCUUGACAAGUUUUGUCUUCAUCAUGAGAGAGUUAAUUUUUUAUUAGCUACUUUAACUACAUCCUUUGAAAAGAUAAUUUUUUUCACCUUUAUUGUCUUAUAGUGAAAUGCAUUGUUUCAUUUUUGGAUGUUAAUCCAUCGUUGCAUUCUUGGGGUAAACUCCAAAGUGUCAUGAAAUAUGAGAAUCUUUAUAAAUUGCUGGAUAAAAUAUGAUAAUAUUUUCUUAAAGAUUUUUGAAUCUGUAUUUAAGAGAAAUAUUGCUUUGUAGGUUUUUUUUGGUCAUAUGUUUGCCUAAUUUUGGAAUUAGAGCCAUACAAGAUUUAAAAAAUGAUUUCAGAUGUAUUUUCUUUUAAUGAUUAUUUUAAUAUGAAUUGAAUUUCUUUACCUGAUGUGAAGUUCAUGUUUACAUUUUUUUUCUUGGUAAGUUUUGGUUGCCUGUGUCUUUCAUGAAUUUUAUUGCUUUUAUCAAGUUUGUCAAAGUUAUUAGCAUAAAAUUUUUAAUAAUAUCCUCCAAUUAUACUUCUGAUGUCUCUA